CUGAAGCCAAUUAAACCAUCCAUGUUCCUCUGCUCAUGGGAAUGUAGUGUGAAGUGAUUGCAAAAGGCAGCCUCUUUGGGAAUGUGUGCAGGUUACCUUUAUGGGUUGCCCUAAGGGACGUUGGAGACAAUU